rnacentral:rRNA from 1 species
UACGUAGGUGGCAAGCGUUGUCCGGAUUUACUGGGCGUAAAGGGCGUGCAGGCGGUUUGUUAAGUGCAGGGUGAAAGCUCCCGGCUCAACUGGGAGAGGUCCUUGCAUACUGGCAAACUCGAGGGAGGCAGAGGAAAGUGGAAUUCCCGGUGUAGUGGUGAUAUGCGUAGAUAUCUGGAGGAACACCGGUGGCGAAGGCGGCAUCCUGGACCGACACUGACACUGAGGAGCGAAAGCCAGGGGAGCAAACGGG